rnacentral:lncRNA from 10 species
GAGUAGCUGGGACUACAGGCGCAUGCCACCACGCCCAGCUAAUUUUGUAUUUUUAGUAGAGACAGGGUUUCUCCAUGUUGGUCAGACUGGUCUCGAACCCCGACCUCAGGUGAUCUGCCCGUCUUGGCCUCCCAAAGUGCUGGGAUUAUAGACGUGAGCCACCACGCCUGGCUCCGAGGGCUUUUUAGCAGGUGAGCCGCUUCCAGCCAGCCGAGGCGUCCUCCCUCCGUGAUGCCAUUUCUGCUCCACAGUGUGUGCACUGUGCUCAGCUUGACUCCCCACUCUCCCAAAACUAACAUUCCUGUUUAAUUCCAUGGGAGCGGGGCUCAGAGUAAACUUAGGCCAAGGCAUCAACAUGGCCCUGCCGGGGGAUUCCCCCCUCCUGUGCUUCGGAGAUGGUUUUCUGCUCUUCUUAGGGGGCGCCUGUCCCCCUGGCCUUUGUUUUUGCCCCUGGGCAUCUGGCACCCGAUUUGGAGCUGGGCCAGUCCCCCACAGUGCCCCAGGCCUGCUUUUGGGUUCUGGAGUGUUUGAAAUCGCCGAAGCUUCGGGAGUUAGAACCGGGACAAAA